CCUUGUUGAUGUUGCCAGUAGUAAUAUGCUUUUCUUAAAGAUUAAGCCAUGCAUGUGUAAGUAUGAACAAAGGCAGACUAUGAAACUGCGAAUGGCUCAUUAAAUCAGUUAUAGUUUUUUUUAUGGUAUCUACUACUCGUAUAAACAUAGUAAUUCUAGAGUUAAUAUAUGUAAAAAAAACCAACUUCUGGAACGGUUGAAUUUAUUACAUAAAAUUUAGACAUGGUCUCUGCUCAUUGCUGCGAUGAAUCAUGAUAACUUAAUGGAUCGCACGACCAUUGUGCCAGCGACACAUCAUUCAAAUUUCUACCCUAUCAACUUUUGAUGAAGGAUAGUGGCCUACCAUGGUGAAGACGGGUGAUGGAGAAUUAAGGUUUGAUUUUAGAGAGGGAGCCUAAGAAAUGGCUACCACAUCCAAGGAAGGGAGAAGGCACGCAAAUUACCCAAUCUUGAUAUGGGGAGGUAGUGACAAUAAAUAACAAUACCGGGCUCAAUGAGCCUAGUAAUUGGAAUGAGUACAAUAUAAAUCCAUUAAUGAGGAUCCAUUGGAGGGAAAGUCUUAUGCCAUCUGGAAUGGUAAUUCCAUCUCCAAUAGCGUAUAUUUUAGUUAUGGCAGUUAAAAAGAUCGUAUUUGUACUUUGGGAUGGGCCAGUUGGUCCGCCUAUGGAGUGCACCGAUCGUCUCAUCCCUUCUUUUAGUGAUGCGCUCCUGGUGUUAAUUUGAUGGGUCAUGCCUCAAGCACUCUUACUUUGAAGAAAUUAGAGUGCCCAAAGCAAUACUACGCUAUGUAUACAUUAGCAUCAGAUAACAUUAUAGGAUUUUGGUGUUAUUAUGUUGGCCUUCAGGAUCGGAGUAACGAUUAAUAGGGACAGUCAGGGGCAUUCGUAUUUCAUAGUCAGAUGUGAAAUUCUUUGAUUUAUGAAAGAUGAACAACUUCAAAUGCAUUAGCCAAGGAUGUUUUCAUUAAUCAAGAAUGGAAGUUGGGGGCUCAAAGACAAUUAGAUACAGUCCUAGUCUCAACCAUAAAUGAUGCCGACUAGGGAUCGGCAUAUGUUGCUUUUAAUCUCAACCAUAAAUGAUGCCGACUAGGGAUCGACAUAUGUUGCUUUUAGGACUUUGCCAACACUUUAUGAGAAAUCAAAGUGAGGACUUUUCCAACACUUUAUGAGAAAUCAAAGUUUUUGGGUUUUGGGGGUAGUAUGGUGGCAAGGCUAAAACAUAAAGGAUUUGAUGGAAGGGAACUUUUUGGGUUUUGGGGGGAGUAUGGUGGCAAGGCUAAAACAUAAAGGAUUUGAUGGAAGGGAACCACCACGAGUGAAGUCUGUGGCUUAAUUUGACUCAAUACGGGGAAACUUACAGGUCCAGGCAUAGUAAGGAUUGACAGACUAAGAGCUGUUUCUUAAUUCUAUAGGUGGUGGUGCAUGGUCUUUCUUAGUUGGUGUAUCAAAUUGUCUAGUUAAUUUCAUUAACGAACGAGACCUCAGCAUGCUAACUAGCUACGCAGAGGUAUCCCAUCGCUGCCAGCUUCUUCGAAGGACUAAGACCUUUUAGGCCCCAGAAGUUUAAGGCAAUAACAGGUUUGUGAUGCCCUUAGAUGUUCUGGGCCGCACGCGUGCUACACUGAUGUAUUCAAUGAGUUUAUAGCCUUGGUUGAUAGGCCAAGAUAAUUUUUAAAUUUUAUCAUAAUGGGGAUAGAUCAUUGCAGUUAUUGUUCUUCAACGAAGAAUUCCUAGUAAGUGUGAGUCAUUAUCUCAUGUUGAGUAUAAUCCCUGCCCUUUGUACAUAUCGCCCGUCGCUCCUACCGAUUGAAUGAUUGGGAAAAUAUUUGUAUUAUGGUGAUGUGGGCAUUUUGCUGCAAGCGACGUUGUGAGAAGUCCAUUGAACAUUAUCAUUUAAAGGAAGGAGAAUUCGUAACAAGGAUUUUGUAGGUAAACCUGUGGAAA
rnacentral:rRNA from 1 species